rnacentral:lncRNA from 1 species
AAAAAAUUCGAAUUUUUAAAUGUGUGCAAUAGGAUUUGAACUCAUGACCUUUGAAAGAAAGAAUGAGACCUUAUCCACUGCACCAAGUCACAACUUGUGAUAAUUUAAUAACAAAAAAAAAAUUAUAGACACAUGUAAUUUAUAUUAAAAAAAAAGAACAAUGAUAAUAAAUUAAUUCCCAACCUAGACAACAAUAUUAACUCACAUUAUAGCCAAAACCCAAAAACAACAAUAAUAAGUCAAUUACUUUCAAUCCAUAAAAAAAUCUAAUAAAAUUAAUCUAAACUCCACCAACAAGGCAAC